rnacentral:rRNA from 1 species
CCCGCUGAACUUAAGCAUAUCAAUAAGCGGAGGAAAAGAAACUAACAAGGAUUCCCCUAGUAACUGCGAGUGAAGCGGGAAAAGCUCAAAUUUUAAAUCCGGUGGUCUUUUGGCCCUCCGAAUUGUAGUUUAGAGAAACGGCUUCCGGGCUGGACCGUGCACCAGUCUCCUGGAAUGGAGCGUCAUAAAGGGUGAGAAUCCCGUCGUUUGCACGGACUCCCGGUGGUUCUGUGAUGCGCUCGCGGCGAGUCGAGUGGUUGGGGAUUCAGCUCAAAAUGGGUGGUGAACUCCAUCUAAAGCUAAAUACUGGAAGGAGCUUGAUAGCGAACAAGUACCGUGAGGGAAAGAUGAAAAGCACUUUGAGAAGAGAGUGAAAUAGUGCGUGAAAUUGUUCAUAGUGAAUCGCAUGCAGACACACCGAUCCACCGAGACUCAGCCAUGUCGUAGGCCUGGUGUGCAAAUCGGCCGACAGGUGCGUUAUCCAUUCCGUCGAUCGGAGAGUCGCGGCGGACAGGGCGCACCUUCUCCAGUGUCUCAUAUUCCUCUAUCGCAUGUGAGGGUCGGGAUUGAGAACCUCAUCAUGCCCCUUUGCGCGUCGGGGCCUCUUACCCCCGUCACCUGCUUAUGAUGCUGGCAUAAUGGUUUCAAACGACCCGUCUUGAAACACGG